rnacentral:rRNA from 1 species
AUUGAACGCUGGCGGCAGGCCUAACACAUGCAAGUCGAGCGGAGCGGCGGACGGGUGUGUAAUGCCUAGGAAUCUGCCUGGUAGUGGGGGAUAACGUCCGGAAACGGGCGCUAAUACCGCAUACUAUCAGAUGGGCCUAGGUCGGAUUAGUUAGUAGGUGGGGUAAUGGCUCACCUAGGCGACGAUCCCUAGCUGGUCUGAGAGGAUGACCAGACACACUGGAACUGAGACACGGUCCAGACUCCUACGGGAGGCAGCAGUGGGGAAUAUUGCACAAUGGGAGCAAGCCGGAGACAGCCAGGCCGCGUGUGUGAAGAAGGCCUUCGGGUUGUAAAGCACUGUCAGCGGGGAGGCGUUACCCGAAGAAGAAGCACCGGCUAACUCCGUGCCAGCAGCCGCGGUAAUAC